rnacentral:rRNA from 1 species
GGCAGAGACGUUCGGUCUGCUUCGAAAGGAGUGUGUACUAGAACUUUUCGGCCAUCCUCGAGGUAUUGUACUGCUGGCAUUCAGUUGUUGGUGGUACGGUCUUCGUCAUUUACUGUGAGUAAACUAGAGUGUUCAAAGCAGGCUUAGGCCGUUGAAUACAUUAGCAUGGAAUAAUAAGAUAGGACCUUGGUCUAUUUUGUUGGUUUGUAUUCCAAGGUA